GAUGAACGCUGGCGGCGUGCCUAAUACAUGCAAGUCGAGCGAACAGACGAGGAGCUUGCUCCUCUGACGUUAGCGGCGGACGGGUGAGUAACACGUGGAUAACCUACCUAUAAGACUGGGAUAACUUCGGGAAACCGGAGCUAAUACCGGAUAAUAUAUUGAACCGCAUGGUUCAAUAGUGAAAGACGGUUUUGCUGUCACUUAUAGAUGGAUCCGCGCCGCAUUAGCUAGUUGGUAAGGUAACGGCUUACCAAGGCAACGAUGCGUAGCCGACCUGAGAGGGUGAGAGGCAACAGUGGAACAGAAACCGGGCCAAGCCACCGACGGGGGGAGCAAGGGGGAAUUCUUCCGAAAGGGGAAAAGGACUGAAGGAGAACGGCGGGGGGAGUAAGAAAGGUCUAGGAAACAAAAAACUUUGUUAUAAGGGAAAAAAAAAUGGGAAAAAAAAAAGGAACGUUUUAACGAUACAAAAUAAGAAAACAACGGAAAACUACGUG
rnacentral:rRNA from 1 species